rnacentral:rRNA from 1 species
GGGGAAUUUUCCGCAAUGGGCGAAAGCCUGACGGAGCAAUACCGCGUGAGGGAGGAAGGCUCUUGGGUCGUAAACCUCUUUUCUCAGGGAAGAACACAAUGACGGUACCUGAGGAAUAAGCAUCGGCUAACUCCGUGCCAGCAGCCGCGGUAAUACGGAGGAUGCAAGCGUUAUCCGGAAUGAUUGGGCGUAAAGCGUCCGCAGGUGGCGAUGUAAGUCUGCUGUUAAAGAAUCUAGCUCAACUAGAUAAGAGCAGUGGAAACUACAUAGCUAGAGUACGUUCGGGGCAGAGGGAAUUCCUGGUGUAGCGGUGAAAUGCGUAGAGAUCAGGAAGAACACCAGUGGCGAAGGCGCUCUGCUAGGCCGUAACUGACACUGAGGGACGAAAGCUAGGGGAGCGAAUGGGAUUAGAUACCCCAGUAGUCCUAGCCGUAAACGAUGGAUACUAGGCGUGGCUUGUAUCGACCCGAGCCGUGCCGUAGCUAACGCGUUAAGUAUCC